GAUCAUUAGAGAGUGAAACUUCUGGCUGGGAAGCUGUUGUGCUGGCCCUCUGGGGCAAUGUGCACACCUCUUGGCUGGUUUGUUUCUUAUCUUCCACCUGUGCACUGCCUGUAGACAUGCUUCUGUGUCUAUGACUUGGUAAUAUAUUACACACAUGUUUUGCAUUUUGGUUGGCAUAUUGUAACAAUAUGCAUGAUAAAUAAAUAUACAACUUUCAACAAUGGAUCUCUUGGCUCUCGCAUCGAUGAAGAACACAGCGAAAUGUGAUAAGUAAUGUGAAUUGCAGAAUCCAGUGAAUCAUCGAAUCUUUGAACGCAUCUUGCGCUCCUUGGUAUUCUGAGGAGCAUGCCUGUUUGAGUGUCAUUAAAAUAUCAAAACACGUUCCUCGGAGUGUGUUUUGGACUUUGGGAGUGUUUUGCUGGUCUCUGUCUGAGCCAGCUCUCCUCAAAAGCAUUAGCUUUGGAGACUGUCAGCGUGAUAACUUUGUUUUAUGCUGGCUGAGCGUGUCUCUGCUUCAUAUAAGCCUCUGACCUCAAAUCAGGCAGGACUACCCGCUGAACUUAAGCAUAUCAAUA
rnacentral:rRNA from 1 species